rnacentral:rRNA from 1 species
AUAAGAUAUCAAGGGCAACAGGUGAAUGCCUUGGCGCUGAGAGGCGAUGAAAGACGCGGUAAGCUGCGAUAAGCAUCGGGGAGGAGCUAAACAUCCUACGAUCCGAUGAUUUCUGAAUGGGGAAACCCGAUGGGAGUCAUGUCCCAUCAUCCUGAGCUGAAUAUAUAGGCCCAGAGAAGCCAACCCGGGGAAGUGAAACAUCUCAGUACCCGGAGGAAGAGAAAUCAAACGAGACUCCCAAAGUAGCGGCGAGCGAAAUGGGAAGAGCCCAAACCGGGUGGUUUCGACCAUUCGGGGUUGUAGGGCCGGCAUACGCGAUUCUGGAGUAGGCAGAGGAAGUGAGCUGGAAAGCUCCGCCACAGCGGGUGAUAGCCCCGUACUCGAAACCGAAAAGGACGCAGCCGGUACCUGAGUACUGCGAGGCACGUGGAACCUCGUGGGAAUCUAGGGGGACCAUCCUCUAAGGCUAAGUACUCCUCAGCGACCGAUAGUGAACUAGUACCGUGAGGGAAAGGUGAAAAGAACCCCUGUUAGGGGAGUGAAAUAGAAUCUGAAACCUGUUGCCUACAAGCUGCGAGAGCUACUUCGGUAGUGAUCGCGUGCCUUUUGUAUAAUGAGUCAGCGAGUUACUCUACCGUGCGAGGUUAAGCGAAAGCGUAGCCGUAGUGAAAGCGAGGCUUAAUAGGCCGACUAGUACGUUGGAGUAGACCCGAAACCGGGUGAUCUAUCCAUGAGCAGGUUGAAGCAAGGGUAAAGCCUUGUGGAGGACCGAACCGUCAACGGCUGAAAACGUUCCGGAUGACUUGUGGAUAGGGGUGAAAGGCCAAUCAAACCCGGUGAUAGCUGGUUCUCCCCGAAAUAUAUUGAGGUAUAGCCUCGGGAAUUGAUUAGCGGAGGUAAAGCACUGACAGAGCUAGGGGUCCUACCAGAUUACCAAACUCUAUCAAACUCAGAAUGCCGCUUAAUUGUAUCCCGGGAGUCAGACGGCGGGUGCGAAGGUUCGUCGUCAAAAGGGAAACAGCCCAGACCAACAGCUAAGGUCUCCAAAUCCAUGCUCAGUGGUGAAGGUAGUGGAACCGUUUAGACAGCCAGGACGUUGGCUUAGAAGCAGCCAUCGUUUAAAGAAAGCGUAAUAGCUCACUGGUCUAAUGGCUCUGCGCCGAAAAUGUAACGGGGCUAAGCAUGGUACCGAAGCUUUGGCAAUCUCCUUUGGAGAUUGGGUAGGGGAGCGUUCGCUGCGGGCUGAAGGUGUAUCGGAAGGUAUGCUGGACUGCAGUGAAGUGAUUAUGCUGACAUGAGUAACGAUAAAAUAUGUGAAAAACAUAUUCGCCGAAAACCCGAGGUUUCCUGGGUAAAGGUAAUCUUCCCAGGGUUAGUCGGAUCCUAAGGUGAGGGUGAAAGCCGUAACCGAUGGAAAACAGGUUAAUAUUCCUGUACUUGUUGUGUAGCGCGAUGGAGGGACGCAGGAAGAUAGGCGGGCCGGGUGUUGGAUAUCCCGGUGCAAGCGUGUAGGAAUAUCCGGUAGGCAAAUCCGCCGGACGAAUCUGAGACGCGAGUCCGUGGGCGCAAGCCCUGAAGCCGUUGAGUCUAUGCUGCCUAGAAAAGCUCCUAAGUUUAUCCACAGCAAUCCGUACCGCAAACCAACUCAGGUGGGUGGGAUGAACAAUCCAAGGCGCUCGAGAGAACUCUGGCCAAGGAACUCGGCAAAAUAACCCCGUAACUUCGGAAGAAGGGGUGCUCUCUAGGGUGACAUGUUUAACAUAUGAAGCCCCGGGGAGCCGCAGUGAAUUGGUGGUGGCGACUGUUUACUAAAAACAUAGGUCUGUGCGAAGUCCUAAAGACGACGUAUACGGACUGACGCCUGCCCGGUGCUGGAAGGUUAAAAGGAGGGGUCAGCGCAAGCAAAGCUCCGAAUUGAAGCCCCAGUAAACGGCGGCCGUAACUAUAACGGUCCUAAGGUAGCGAAAUUCCUUGUCGGGUA